rnacentral:rRNA from 1 species
AAGCAACGCGAAGAACCUUACCAGGUCUUGACAUCCUCUGACAACUCUAGAGAUAGAGCGUUCCCCUUCGGGGGACAGAGUGACAGGUGGUGCAUGGUUGUCGUCAGCUCGUGUCGUGAGAUGUUGGGUUAAGUCCCGCAACGAGCGCAACCCUUGAUCUUAGUUGCCAGCAUUCAGUUGGGCACUCUAAGGUGACUGCCGGUGACGAACCGGAGGAAGGUGGGGAUGACGUCAAAUCAUCAUGCCCCUUAUGACCUGGGCUACACACGUGCUACAAUGGACGGUACAAAGAGUCGCGAGACCGCGAGGUGGAGCUAAUCUCAUAAAACCGUUCUCAGUUCGGAUUGUAGGCUGCAACUCGCCUACAUGAAGCCGGAAUCGCUAGUAAUCGCGGAUCAGCAUGCCGCGGUGAAUACGUUCCCGGGCCUUGUACACACCGCCCGUCACACCACGAGAGUUUGCAACACCCGAAGUCGGUGAGGUAACCGUAAGGAGCCAGCCGCCUAAGGUGG